rnacentral:piRNA from 1 species
GUGAGCCCUGCCGUCGGCGACGUGG